GAUUAGCCAUGCUAGUCGCACGAGUUCAGACUCGUGGCGAAUAGCUCAGUAACACGUGGCCAAACUACCCUUCGGACCACCAUACCCUCGGGAAACUGAGGCUAAUAGUGCAUACCACACUCAUCCUGGAAUGACGAGUGUGCCAAACGCUCCGGCGCCGAAGGAUGUGGCUGCGGCCGAUUAGGUAGACGGUGGGGUAACGGCCCACCGUGCCAAUAAUCGGUACGGGUCAUGAGAGUGAGAACCCGGAGACGGAAUCUGAGACAAGAUUCCGGGCCCUACGGGGCGCAGCAGGCGCGAAACCUUUACACUGCACGACAGUGCGAUAAGGGAAUCCCAAGUGCACAGGCAUAGAGCCUGUGCUUUUGUACACCCUAGGGCGGUGCACGAAUAAGGGCUGGGCAAGACCGGUGCCAGCCGCCGCGGUAAUACCGGCAGCCCAAGUGAUGGCCGAUCUUAUUGGGCCUAAAGCGUCCGUAGCUGGCCGCACAAGUCCAUCGGGAAAUCCACCUGCCCAACAGGUGGACGCCCGGUGGAAACUGUGUGGCUUGGGACCGGAAGGCGCGACGGGUACGUCCGGGGUAGGAGUGAAAUCCCGUAAUCCUGGACGGACCACCGAUGGCGAAAGCACGUCGCGAAAACGGAUCCGACAGUGAGGGACGAAAGCCAGGGUCUCGAACCGGAUUAGAUACCCGGGUAGUCCUGGCCGUAAACAAUGUCUGUUAGGUGUGGCUCCCACUACGAGUGGGUGCUGUGCCGUAGGGAAGCCGCUAAACAGACCGCCUGGGAAGUACGUCCGCAAGGAUGAAACUUAAAGGAAUUGGCGGGGGAGCACUACAACCGGAGGAGCCUGCGGUUUAAUUGGACUCAACGCCGGACAUCUCACCAGCAUCGACUGUAGUAAUGACGACCAGGUUGAUGACCUUGUCCGAGCUUCAGAGAGGAGGUGCAUGGCCGCCGUCAGCUCGUACCGUGAGGCGUCCUGUUAAGUCAGGCAACGAGCGAGACCCGCAUCCGUACUUGCCAGCAGUACUUCACAGUAGCUGGGGACAGUACGGAGACCGCCGUGGCCAACACGGAGGAAGGAACGGGCAACGGUAGGUCAGUAUGCCCCGAAUGUGCUGGGCAACACGCGGGCUACAAUGGUCGAGACAAAGGGUUCCUACUCCGAAAGGAGACGGUAAUCUCAGAAACUCGAUCGUAGUUCGGAUUGUGGGCUGCAACUCGCCCACAUGAAGCUGGAUUCGGUAGUAAUCGCGU
rnacentral:rRNA from 1 species